ACAUCAUAUUUCACACUGCAUUCUCUAGUCUAUUAAAAAAAUAUGCCGCACUAACUCCGCAGCGAACUGGAAUACAGUCAAAAAUGUAGACGGAGUUUAAAUAAAACCGACCUAUAGAUAUACUCACUGUUGUUGUCGAGUUGAAAAACAAUUACAAGCACAAUAAUAAAACUAAUAAACAAGUGUUGUUUCGUUACUAGAUAGAAGGUUUGAAUCCGACACCGGAGGACAUCACGAGGGUGCUCGCCGCGAACAACAUAUCUCACAACAGAGUGGUCGAGAUCACCAAGAUAUCGUUUUCAAAGGGCACGUCGAGCAUCAUCCCAGACUGUCCUCGCGCUUUGUCCUUGCUAAGCGAUGUGCCACGAACUCAAAUAGCCUGCGGGAGACCACCGGAUCGGACAGCCGUGCCGUGCCCAACAGUGGACCAGUUCCAAUCCCUGACCCACAGUCGGUUGAUGAACAAGAGCCUGCGCAGACCGAAGAUCCUUCAGCGUGGGGGAGACGACCGGCCACAGCCAGACACGUACCCUCUGUCAGUCGGCGUCACUGGCGAGGAGCUAUCGGAUUUGAGCAUGCAGCUUCUGCUACGCGACGGUGUGUUGGUUGACGGCAGUCAGAUGGUACAGUUGCAGCUCAACGAUUCCAUGUUGCUUGAAUGAAGUAUAGACAAAAUUAGAAGAUUCUUGUUUCAUGCACAUACAUGCUCCGAUAAAUCAGUAUGAUAGCUUGAAAGAUGAGACCAGUAAAGAUCAUUUUCAAUAAAUACUAUCAAUCUUAAUUUUCGAUCUGAACCCAAGAAUACGCCUAUCAAAAUAAGUAAUUUGUAAGUAUGUAACAAUCCUUAUUUUUUGCUGGUAGUAGGAUAUAUUUUAUAUCCGCCUGGAUAGCCACCACCGUACACAAGGUGUUAAACCUGCCAUAGUGGCCCACCAAGUGUCGCGUUCCGGGAUCAGCCUGUGUAUAUCCGGUUCCAACAGGCCGGCAUAAUUGUGUCAACUGUCGAGUAAUCAUUCACGUCACUCGAACUUCUAUUGGACCUCACUCCACUUCAUAUCAAGUGCAGUGAGGUUACUUUGUCGUGCCUAUUUUAUCAUGCCGAUUGGUCUAUUUCCGGAUCGACUUAAUUCCCUUAAGAUCGUUUAUUGAAUACCGUAAGUUGCUCGUCAGUUAGUAAGCGCCUGCGAAAAAAUCAAUAGCAAUAAUUAAAAUUGCAAUUUUAAGCUUGUCUGUAUAGAUUAGGUCUAAUAUCGCCUACACAGUCCCCAAUAUCCUGCAGACCGGUACAUUACAGUUUCCGGUAUUCUGCGUGUCAAUAGAAACAGACAAAGCUCUAUCAGACUCAUACAGACACAUAUAUGAAGAACUUCCUAUUUAAUGUGAUAAUAUAGUUAUGUUUUGUAAUUUGUGCGAUUUUUCGGAGCGUGUGUGUCUAGUGUUAGAUUAAGUGAAAUUAAUUUGAUUUUAGCAAUUGUUGAUAUAAUUUAUAAUUGUUUUAUAUUUGUAAAUAAAG